AUUAAACUUAAGUUGUUAAAUUAUUAAAUUAUUGACUUAUUUAAAUAAUUUAUUAAGUGUAGAGUUUUUUGGGACUUAUAUUUUAAAGGGGGGGGAAGGGAGACAAGAAUAAGAAGAGUAUAAAUAGUGCUAUUUAGACCCAAACUGAGCAAAGAUGUCAAAACACGACCUUUGAAGAAAUCAAAGUAUGAAAAGAUACAUUUAUCUUGAGUGAUAGAAGGAUAGAGUGUCUUUUGGGACAGAGUCGCACGUAGCUCAGGCUGGCCUCAAACUGACUACGUGCCAAAGCUUGCCUCAAACUCUCUAUCCUCCUGCCCACACCUCCCAAACCCUAGGUUUGUGGGCUUUCACUAAGAUGGCAAGUGCUAUCAUUCUUUAAUAUAAAAACAAAAUUCAUAGUGAUCCAUAGCUUGCAGGCUUUCAGGCUCCUGGAAGUAUUAUAAAAUCCUAUACAUUUUAUGAAAAAAAAAUUCUAUAUGUGAAUUCAUAUUGUUCAAAUGCUCUAGAAAAAUAAAUCAUAGUCACUCUAAAUAUUAUCAAAUUCAUUUACUGGUUUUCGUAUAAUAUUUCAGCCACUGAAUAUUAAAACUACAGGUACAGUCAUAGAGGCACCCUUCAUUUCUUAAAAGAUUGCAUACUAUUGUCUGUAAUCCUAGCAUUUAGGAGGCAGGAGGAUCUUGAGUUUGAGAUCUAUCCGAGCUAUAUAAGACCAUUUCAUAACAACAACAACAACAAAAUGUCCAAUAGGAACAUAAAUAGUGGUCAAAAUCAUUUGGAACCAAACACAAAUUUUCAUAAAUCUUAAAAUCAGCCCAGUCUCAGAUCCUGUAUUGUCUUCAUCAAAUCACAUAUGCAUUCUUUAUUUACAUUUUUUCUAGAGACAAUUUUGCCCUGGAUUGGGUAAGUUCUUUGAAGACCCACAGGCUCUCAAAUUUUGUUUAUAUUAUGAUCACUUAGGGAGUUUUAGAGAACCAUUGUUUCUCAGGAGUCGGUCUAGGUCAAGUCACAGGAAGGGCUCAGUAACCUGCAGGUCUUACCUCCUCCCAAACCACUGACUGUCCAGGGGUCUCAGCCAGCAGGUGGGAAGAAGAAUUUCUAGCAAGUUGUCUGGUUACACCUGUGAGGCUGACCAAGGACUGCAUUUUGAAAAGCUCACUCCUCCACACACUAUUGUUACAGUCAAUCUAGAACUAAUGUGAAAGAGAAUAAUCCAUACGGAGGAGGCAACCCUGAAUACUGUUUUAGCAGUUCACUACUCUGGAUUAUUAAUGACACAAAAUUUAACGGGAUUGUUGGAAAGGAGCUAACAGAAGCAUGCAGAAUGUAGAUUUAAACAUGAGCAUGUAAGGAGAGGGUUACACAUGACAUGAAAGCAGAAGAGUGGCUAUUAGGAGAAGAGAGGGGGAUAUGAAUGGGGGACAUAAGCUAGGUAGACACCGAUGAGAUACAAGCCUGGGCGUAGAGCAUACUGGUUAUUGUAGUUGUCUGAGGAACUUAAAACAAGCAAGCAAAACCCCCAGCAGCCCUGCUGCCUGCCUCACCUCCCCCCAGAUGCACAGCUGUGAAGGGCCUGCCAUAGAAUAAGCCACGCCCCGGGAGGAUUCCGCUCUGCAGUCAGCUGGGACUCGCAAAGGUAGCCACAGGUUCUCCAGCCCUGGUGUGUACAGAAAUCCCUUAGGGUGCUUACAGAACCACACAUUCCUGACUCUCUGGCAUUCCUCCACAAGGUCAUUUAGCUCUAAUCUUCGUGGAGAGCGUCUUGUUUGACUGGGCGUUCUUUUAGCAAGUGUUUUUGUUUAGUCUCAGAGAGCUUUCAAAUGUUCAAUGCCAUCACGAGAAGACACUCACUUCUCUGUUACCGCUCUGAGACCAGAAUGUUCUUGCUUGAACGGCGGUGAGUAUAGGAAACGGGAAUGGGAAGUGCAAAUGUGCUGUAAUGUUUUAAAAUGUUGUCACAAUAUGCUUUUAGAGCUUUUAAAAUUAAUUUUUAGGCAGCUUACAAAGUGAUGGUUUUCAUUAAGACACUUUCACGUGUUUAUCUCUCUAUACCGAAAAAUAAAUGUAACUAAAGAAGUGAAAGACCCCUACAAUAAGAAGUUAAAACAGUGAAGGAAAAGACUGAGGCCACUAGCUGAUGGAGAAGCCCCCAUGCUCAUGGAUAGGGAGAAUUAAUAUUGUGAAAAUGGCUGUACUGCCUCUUACACCUUGUUCAUCUUCCCCUCCUUCCUGUCAGUCAUUCUUCCUCCCUCAAACAGUCCCACUUCUGCCUUCAUGGCAUAGAUGUGUGUAUGUGUACACACAUAUAUUAUAUAUUUUAAAAUACAGAUUCACAUAGAAGAGGAAAAUGUGAUGUCAGUCUUUUUAGUUCUGACUUGUUUUUUUUUUUUUUUUUUAGUAAUUUAUUUAAUUUUACUUUAUGUGCAUUAAUGUGAAGGCGACAGAUAUUUUAGGAUUUGGAGUCACAGACAGUUGUGAGCCGCCAUGUGGGUGUUGGGAAUUGAAUGCGGCUCCAUGUAGGAAGAGCAGACAGUGCUCUUAACCACUGAGCCACCUCUCCGGCCCCUGACUUGUUUUGAUUAAAGCUAUAAUCGUUGGUUCCAUUUAUGUUCCUACAAGCGAGAUAGAUCCUUGUUUUAAAAAUAAAAUCACAAAUGUUUAAUUUUACCAAUAAAGACCCAGGAGCCAGUUGCAGGGGCAAAAGCCUGCUAGCUCAGAGAGGCAGAGAAAGUACCUAGAUUUGUUAGUAUGAUGACUUCUAGAUUUAUUUAUUUAUUUUUUUUUUAUUUUAUUCUGUGACAUGUUCUUUCUAUGGCCUUGAGCCCAUAGAGCUCAAUCUGCCUCUACCUCCUGAGUGCUGAGGUUAAAGGUGUGUACCACCUCACCUAGCCUACUCUUGUUAUUUUAAGUCAUGUUGUAGGUGUGUCCGUAGCGCCAAUUCCCGAGGAGGCCAGUGGUAUCAGAUCCUCCUGGAGCCGGAGCUACAGGUGGUUGCGAGCCACCCAGUACGGGGUCCUGGAAAUGGAACUGGUGUCCUCUGCAAGAACAGUGCAUAUUCUUAACUAUUGAGCCAUCUCUCCAGCCCUUUUUUGAUUUUUUUCCCCCUUUGGGUGUGUGGAGAGACACAUGCCUGCGGGGUCAAAGGACAAUUUGCAGAAGUUGAUUCUCUACUACCUCGUGAGUUCCUGGGAUUGAAUUUAAGCAGUUUUGGCCUUUACCCACGGAGCCAUCUCACCAGCCAACAAAACCUUCCUUGAAACAGCAAAAGCUCCAGCAAUGAGUUAAGCUGCUGACUUAACAUACUAAGCACAGAACAGUUCAAGAAUGAGCCAUGAUAGGUCAUCGUCAGUUGUCUUUAAUUUUUGAGAGGAGGCGGUUGCUGCCAGGAAUUUGUAUCCCGGAGAACUCUUUUCUGGGAUUGGUGCCAGAGAUCAGGAAGGGCACAAAGCUGUAUAUAUAUAGGAGACAGCCCCUGAGAAUGAGAUCCAUCUGGGAAGGACACUGACACCUGUACCUAUAACCAGUGAUUGCUGAGACCUGUCAAUAGCCACACAAGUGAGCCAGGAAGUAGAUCUUCCCUUGGAACAGGAAGAGUGUGAGGAUGCAGGUGCCAUCAGCCAGGAAGAUGAAGGCAUUUGGAACUGCACUGGGAAUACAAAGUGGAACCUUGCCAUUAUGGUGGUCUAUUCAUUGAGAAACUCCUCAUUGAAGAGCUUUAACAAAAGAAGAACACUUUCAGUUGGCUGAGGCAGAAAGGCCUUAUUGACUGGUGUGUAAUAGGAUUCCUGCAGCUCUGGCCUUUCCUGGCAAAAGGAUUUUACAAUCAAGUAAUCAAAGGUUGAGUUGGAUGUCUUCCCCACACUAAACACAGAAAUGUACAGUCAUCUUCCAGAGAUCAAGUAUAACUCAGCUAAUGAUAGCACGUGAACCAGAACAGGGAGCUGCAAUGUGCUCCCUUGGGUUAAUUCGUACACACAGAAAACGGGACACAGAAAACAAAUACCCAAGUAUUCCCCCUUAUGUAGGAGAAGGAGAAACGAGUCCCCCAAAUAUACUCAAACGUCUGUGAGUAUUUAGGACAUGGUGACUCAUGUCUAUAAGCCUAGCACUGGAGAGGCUGAGGCAGGAUUGUGAAUUGGAGUCUUGUCUGGGCUAGAUGGUGAGAUUCUGGCAGGGGAGAGAGAGAGAGAGAGAGAGAGAGAGAGAGAGAGAGAGAGAGAGAAGAUAAGGAAGAAACAUGAGUUUCCUCCCCAUAACUGUAUGAGAUUUAAGUUUCUGCACAGAGAAAAAGCAGCAGUUUGCUUUGGUCCUUCAUUCAUUCCACAGUUUCUUGUUAGUUGAGGACACUAGUGCAAGGUGCUAGGGCUGUGUACGGAAGCCUGGCUGCCAUUUUCCUCAUAGAAUCCAUGCCCUCCUUUCCUAGCGGCAGGACCUGGUUUUCCUUUGGGGAAGCACCAGGAUUCUUACUCUUGGUUCAGGUGGUUUCUUCAACGAAAGGGUAGCUUUGCACCCAAUGUCACCCACAAUAACCAUCAGCAGCCUCAGGAGCUGGGUGGGUACCUGGCACAGUAGUCCUGGUCCCAAUGCUAUACAUGGAAGCCAAGAAAAGAAAUCCUGGGACUUUUGUGGAACUGUUGACAAAAAAGGAUGAGCUAGCUCCCUCAGUGGAGGCCGAAACCAGAAAGGUGUGACCUUCAGGCUUCUGCAACUAGACCAAGCAGCCAACUGAAAUGAAAUAAUGAGGAGCAAGAUAAAUUCUGGGUAGCAUCAAGUCUGCUCCUCCCAAAAGUCAAGAGCUCAUACUAAUUUCCAUAUUUUGUCUCAUGAGUUUAGCAGUAUUCUUUUUCAAAAUCCAUUUACUGGAUGCUGAUUUCUCAUCUACAUUUGUCACUCAAAACUACAACGCUCCCAACAAAUAGAAAGGCUGUAAGAUGAAUCAUGCAUGAGACAUGCUUCUUUCCCAUGAGGCGAGGCAGGUGUGGGAUUGAGAAACACUUAUCUUGUGAUAGGUAAUCAGCUGUGUUCCAUGCCUGGCACUAUGAGGUCACAAAGAGACAGAUAAUGUGGUUUGAAGCCUCAGAGUUGUGAAGGAGCCUAGAGCUUAUCUGUGCUAAUCACCUCAUUCAAAUCUAGACCAGAGGCCAGGCUCACUCUACGUCACUAGGAAUGGCUCUGAACUGUCCUUUCCCACUCUUGCAUAAAGGUAAUUUUUAAAUGCCAUUUCCCUCACCUACCAAAAAUACAAUUUUUUUCCAAAACUCUUUUAUUUGCUCUUCAAUUUUACUUGUUCAUCAUCACUGUAGAAGAUUUAUUAAAUAUGAUAUGCCAUUGGCCAGGCAUGGUGGUGCAGUGUUUUAAUCCCAGCACUUGGCAGGCAGAGGUAGGUUGAUUGCUGUGAGUUUGAGGCCAGUCUGGUCUACAUAGUGGGUUUCAGGACAGCCAGGAGUACCUAGAGAAACACUGUCUCAAAAAAAAAAAAAGAACAGAAAAGAAAAGGCCAAAAGAUAAAAUUAAAGUCAUCCAUCAGCCAAAAGAACCUUUAGGGACUUUUGUUCUAUGAAUUCUCUUAAUUUUAAUGAAACUACUGUUUUAUGAUCUGCUUCUUAACAUAGUAUUAAAUUAUUUCUCCCACAUUAUUAGAUGUUCUUCUAUGAAGUUUCAUUGG